rnacentral:tRNA from 1 species
GGGAGAGUGGUGGAAUCAGGUAUACACGGCAGACUUAAAAUCUGCUCCCCGAAAGGGGUUGAGGGUUCGACUCCCUCCUCUCCCACCA